rnacentral:misc_RNA from 1 species
GAUGAAGAACGUAGCGAAAUGCGAUACUCGGUGUGAAUUGCAGAAUCCCGUGAACCAUCGAGUCUUUGAACGCAAGUUGCGCCCGAAGCCAUUAGGCCGAGGGCACGCCUGCCUGGGCGUCACACGUCGUUGCCCCCCCAUCUACUCCUUCGGGAUUGCGGGGGGCGGAUGAUGGCCUCCCGUGCGCCUCGUCGCGCGGUUGGCCUAAAUGCCAAGUCCUCGGCGACGCACGCCACGACAAUCGGUGGUUGCGAAACCUCGGUUGCCCGUCGUGUGCGGUCGUCGCGCAUCGAGGGCUCGAAAAAAUUGCCGGGCUUCGGCUCGACUUUCAACGCGACCCCAGGUCAGGCGGGGUUACCCGCUGAAUUUAAGCAUAUCAAUAAGCGGAGGA